rnacentral:rRNA from 1 species
CCUACGGGGGGCAGCAGUGAGGAAUAUUGGUCAAUGGGCGCGAGCCUGAACCAGCCAAGUAGCGUGAAGGAUGACUGCCCUACGGGUCGUAAACUUCUUUUAUAAAGGAAUAAAGUGAGGCACGUGUGCCUUUUGUAUGUACUUUAUGAAUAAGGAUCGGCUAACUCCGUGCCAGCAGCCGCGGUAAUACGGAGGAUCCGAGCGUUAUCCGGAUUUAUUGGGUUUAAAGGGAGCGUAGAUGGGUUGUUAAGUCAGUUGUGAAAGUUUGCGGCUCAACCGUAAAAUUGCAAUUGAUACUGGCAGUCUUGAGUACAGUUGAGGUAGGCGGAAUUCGUGGUGUAGCGGUGAAAUGCUUAGAUAUCACGAAGAACUCCGAUUGCGAAGGCAGCUUACUAAACUGCCACUGACAUUGAUGCUCGAAAGUGUGGGUAUCAAACAGGAUUAGAUACCCCGGUAGUC